rnacentral:rRNA from 1 species
UACGGGGGGAGCAAGCGUUGUUCGGAUUUACUGGGCGUAAAGGGCGCGUAGGCGGCCACCGCAAGUCGACUGUGAAAUCUCCGGGCUUAACCCGGAAAGGUCAGCCGAUACUGCGGGGCUAGAGUGCAGAAGGGGCAACUGGAAUUCUCGGUGUAGCGGUGAAAUACGUAGAUAUCAGGUGGAAUACCGGAGGCGAAGGCGGGUAACCAGCUAGACACUGACACUCAGAUCCGAAAGUGUGGGGAUCAAACAGG